UACGAAGGGGGCUAGCGUUGCUCGGAAUCACUGGGCGUAAAGCGCACGUAGGCGGGUCUUUAAGUCAGGGGUGAAAUCCCGGAGCUCAACUCCGGAACUGCCUUUGAUACUGGAGAUCUUGAGUCCGGGAGAGGUGAGUGGAACUCCGAGUGUAGAGGUGAAAUUCGUAGAUAUUCGGAAGAACACCAGUGGCGAAGGCGGCUCACUGGCCCGGUACUGACGCUGAGGUGCGAAAGCGUGGGGAGCAAACAGGG
rnacentral:rRNA from 1 species